AGUGAACGCUGGCGGUAGGCCUAACACAUGCAAGUCGAACGGCAGCACAGGAGAGCUUGCUCUCUGGGUGGCGAGUGGCGGACGGGUGAGGAAUACAUCGGAAUCUACUCUGUCGUGGGGGAUAACGUAGGGAAACUUACGCUAAUACCGCAUACGACCUACGGGUGAAAGCAGGGGACCUUCGGGCCUUGCGCGAUUGAAUGAGCCGAUGUCGGAUUAGCUAGUUGGCGGGGUAACGGCCCACCAAGGCGACGAUCCGUAGCUGGUCUGAGAGGAUGAUCAGCCACACUGGAACUGAGACACGGUCCAGACUCCUACGGGAGGCAGCAGUGGGGAAUAUUGGACAAUGGGCGCAAGCCUGAUCCAGCCAUACCGCGUGGGUGAAGAAGGCCUUCGGGUUGUAAAGCCCUUUUGUUGGGAAAGAAAUCCAGCUGGCUAAUACCCGGUUGGGAUGACGGUACCCAAAGAAUAAGCACCGGCUAACUUCGUGCCAGCCGCCGCAGUUG
rnacentral:rRNA from 1 species